AGUGAGCUCUGUGAUAGAUAACACUCCCAUACACUUUAAAAAAGCAGUGAAGCAGAACUCAGAGAAGGAUGAUGUUAGGACAUUGUAUUUUAUUUCUUUUCAUUUCAUAUUCUUAUGGACAGUCCCUGACCUCCUCUGCUUCUGUGGUGAAGAGACCUGGAGAGUCAGUCACUCUGUCCUGUACUGUCUCCGGAUUCUCAAUGGGCAGCAACUACAUGCACUGGAUCCGUCAGAAACCUGGAAGAGGACUGGAAUGGAUUGGAUACAUUGACACUGGCACUAGCACAACAUACGCUCAGUCUCUGCAGGGCCAGUUCUCCAUCACUAAAGACACCAAUAAAAACAUGCUGUACCUAGAAGUGAAGAGUCUGAAAGCUGAAGACACGGCUGUUUAUUACUGUGCACGAGACUCACACUGACACAGCAGGCUCCAGAGCUGUACAAAAACUUACACAAGCACAUCCUCAUGAGCUGUAAAUAUUCUCUCAGCAGGAAACUGAACCACAGAGACAUUUAUUAUAAACAACAUCCAUACAUUAUAGUGCUCAGUUUUAUUUCCUCUUUUGUCUUACUCCAUUAACAGUCACAAUUCCUCUGUAAAAUUCUCAGGCUUUUUUUUUCUUCUAAUUUCUGGCUGGUGCUUAAAGCUGAAGACAAACAUGAAAACAACAUUAAGUAAACACCAAGGCAAUAAAUGAUAAA